UACGUAGGGUGCGAGCGUUGUCCGGAAUUAUUGGGCGUAAAGAGCUCGUAGGCGGUCUGUCGCGUCGGUCGUGAAAACUUGGGGCUUAACCCUGAGCUUGCGGUCGAUACGGGCAUGACUGGAGUUCGGCAGGGGAGACUGGAAUUCCUGGUGUAGCGGUGAAAUGCGCAGAUAUCGGGAGGAACACCGGUGGCGAAGGCGGUUCUCUGGGCCUUACCUGACGCUGAGGAGCGAAAGCGUGGGGAGCGAACAGG
rnacentral:rRNA from 1 species